GAUGAACGCUGGCGGCGUGCCUAAUACAUACAAGUCGAGCGAACGGACGAGAAGCUUGCUUCUCUGAUGUUAGCGGCGGACGGGUGAGUAACACGUGGAUAACCUACCUAUAAGACUGGGAUAACUUCGGGAAACCGGGGCUAAUACCGGAUAAUAUUUUGAACCGCAUGGUUCAAAAGUGAAAGACGGUCUUGCUGUCACUUAUAGAUGGAUCCGCGCUGCAUUAGCUAGUUGGUAAGGUAACGGCUUACCAAGGCAACGAUGCAUAGCCGACCUGAGAGGGUGAUCGGCCACACUGGAACUGAGACACGGUCCAGACUCCUACGGGAGGCAGCAGUAGGGAAUCUUCCGCAAUGGGCGAAAGCCUGACGGAGCAACGCCGCGUGAGUGAUGAAGGUCUUCGGAUCGUAAAACUCUGUUAUUAGGGAAGAACAUAUGUGUAAGUAACUGUGCACAUCUUGACGGUACCUAAUCAGAAAGCCACGGCUAACUACGUG
rnacentral:rRNA from 1 species